rnacentral:rRNA from 1 species
AGGGAAUAUUGCGCAAUGGACGGAAGUCUGACGCGGCGACGCCGCGUGGGCGAUGAAGGUCUUCGGAUCGUAAAGCUCUGUCCUUGGGGAAGAAGGCGAAAGCUUGACGGUACCCAAGAAGAAAGCCCCGGCUAACUACGUGCCAGCAGCCGCGGUAAUACGUAGGGGGCGAGCGUUGUCCGGAAUUACUGGGCGUAAAGGGUGCGUAGGCGGCCCUUUAAGUCGGAUGUGAAAGCCCGCGGCUUAACCGCGGAAUGGCAUUCGAAACUGGAGGGCUUGAGUGUCGGAGAGGGUAGUGGAAUUCCCAGUGUAGCGGUGAAAUGCGUAGAGAUCUGGAGGAAUACCGAUGGCGAAGGCAGCCAUCUGGCCUAAUACUGACGCUGAGGUACGAAAGCAUGGGGAGCAAAC